AUAAAGGUGCUGAUGAAGAGGAGUACAUGAUCACUUCUGACAGAGAGAACCGCCCAUUGGCUGCAAGGUGGUUUCGGGUGAGGAUUGUGGAAGGUAGCUUCUGAACCGGAUAUCUGAACGAAGAAGUAGGGUAUCCCGGAGUUGUCCGCGUUACAGGACUUGAGAGAUGUCCGCACAGAGGUCUGGAAAUGACAGACCGCAGGCAGGAGAAGCCUGUCUGAAGAACACACAGGGACAUGAAAUUAAGGUGGUACCGCGUAUAUACGCCCUUUAC
rnacentral:ncRNA from 1 species